rnacentral:rRNA from 1 species
UACGUAGGCAGCGAGCGUUGUUCGGAAUUACUGGGCGUAAAGAGUGUGUAGGCGGUGUUCCCAGUCUGUUGUGAAAUCUCCCGGCUUAACUGGGAGGGUGCAGCGGAAACUAGAAUGCUAGAGGGUGGGAGAGGUAAGCGGAAUUCCUGGUGUAGCGGUGAAAUGCGUAGAUAUCGAGAGGAACACCAGUGGCGAAGGCGAGUCUCUGGACGACUCCUGACACUGAGGCACGAAAGCUAGGGGAGCAAACAGG